rnacentral:rRNA from 1 species
UACGUAGGGGGCUAGCGUUGUCCGGAAUCAUUGGGCGUAAAGCGCGCGUAGGCGGCCCGGUAAGUCCGUUGUAAAAGUCAAAGGCUCAACCUUUGAAUGUCAGUGGAUACUGCCGGGCUAGAGUCCGGAAGAGGCGAGUGGAAUUCCUGGUGUAGCGGUGGAAUGCGCAGAUAUCAGGAAGAACACCCGUGGCUAAGGCGGUUCUCUAGUACGGUACUGACGCUGAGACGCGAAAGCGUGGGGAGCGAACAGG